UAGGAUUUUAAAAUUGUGUUUUGUCAGAGUUUAGAUCAUGUAAACUUAUAGCUAAAAAGGAUCAUGGAAUUUAUUAAUAAUAAUAGCUAGCAUUUACAUUAGAACUUUAAGUUUGCAAAGUGUCUUCAUACAUACACUAAUUUGAUCCUCACAACAACGCUGUGAGUUGGCUGUUAUUUUUUUACAUUUUAUUGUAUGAGGAAACAUUCUGAGAGAAAUUAAACCCAGAAUCUCAUUGCUAAGAAGUAUCUGGGGUGGCAGGAAGGUAUCCUUUGGGAUUAUCUAGUCCCAAGCCCAGGACAUUUUUCCUACAAGGAAACUAAAAAAGACCACACAGGUAAUAAGUAGAGCUAAUAUUUAAAUUCAGUUUCUGAGUCUAAAACCAAGACUUUAUUUCCAACCCCUUCCUCCCCCUCCAUUUUACAUUAAAAAAGAAAAAAAGCCUAGAGAGAUAAAGUGACUUCCUGUAAGCAAAACAGCUAGAGUGUGGGAGAGCUGGGGAGCUGGGUCUCUAAACAGAACCCUUGUAUUUUGUGAUCUACUACAGUUGUAUCUUCUAGAAGAAUUAGGAGAAAGAUUUAUACACACAGAUAUUUUCAUAGGAUCACAAGUCAUCUUCUGCCAUAUUUCCCAAUAUUGUCAUUUUAAGGUCUUAGAAACUUGGGUAUGAAUACCCUGAUGGUUUAGGCCAAAAGACAGCUUCCUUAGACAGGGAGUCCUGUUGUUUUCCUAUAACUUCCCUUGGCAGCUGCUGUUCCCACUCUGAAAAGCUUCCUCCCUGUUCCAUAAAGGGGAAUGACAGGCUCUUGUUCUGAAUUAGAGCUUUCUAGGGUCAGGCUCCUAGAAGUGAUAGAAAAGAUCUCUUUGUGGCAGCAUUCAACCCUGAAAGUGAAAGGAUAGAGCCAGGAGGCUGGAUGCUGUGGUGGAGGAGCAAGAGUCUGAAAUUAAGGAGAUAUGAACCAGAAAAGGAAGGAAAGGGAGGUGGCUGGCUGGCCUAAUCCUAAUAAAAAGCUCUCAUUUAGUCUGUGCUGGGGGAGAAGCCAGUUAAGUCACAUUUUUUCACUUCCUCCAUGUCGUCAAGGUGAUUUCUUUCUUGUGGGGUCAGUUAUCUAGAUCUUAAACUAAGACUUUUCUCAUCUCCACCUGAAAAAAAAAAAAAAAGUUGCAAAGACACAAAAUGUGUGAGAUGAUUCUCUGCCCUUCAGGGAAGUCUUUCUUCAAUUGCUAGGUGAAGCAUGUCCCCUGAAGAAAGGCUGCUAGGGACAGGCCUGGAAUUUUCCUUCUGCCCCCAAAGCAACCACUUCUAUUUCUGCAUCAGGCAAUUUUCUCCUCCUGCUGCCAGUCCGGUCUUGCAAAUGGAAUGUGGAGAACCUCAGGUGCAAAAAAGAUCAACCUUCUCUUUGGCUGUAGGCCUCUCAUCCACUAUCCUUUGAAGAAGAAUGGCACCCUCCACUCAGUGAGGAUCUCAUCCUUGUUCAUAUCCUUCCCAUCCCAGUGUUUCUGAACUCCUGUAGAUCACUAUCUAAACCCCAUUCCUCAUCCCUUACCAACUGAUUCCUUGUCCCCAUCUCCCUCAUUCCAAUUAUUUGGAAUGCCUGUUCAAUGGGCAACAGACGAGGCUUCAUCUUAAACCUUCUCUUCUCCCACUACUCCCAUCUACUAGCUCUUCCUGAAACCUGGCUUCCCACUGAUAACGCAGCUUUUACUAGUCCUUUUACUUAUUUUCUUCAAUCCGCUCCAUAUAGGUGGAGAAAUCUGAAUGGUCUCUCCUUCCACAAUCUUUUCCAAGUUUUCCCUUUUCUUUCAUCACUCAGUAACCACUCUUUCUUGGAGGUUCAUGCUAUUCACAUCUACCACCCAAUCAAAAUCCUGGUUGCUGUUGUCCAUAGACUCAUCCCUAACCCCUAGUCAUUUCCCUUUCUUCCUCUGUGAGUUUGAUACCUGGCUCACAAUUUUUCUCUUCUCCCCAACUCCUGCUCUUAUACUAGGGGAUUUUAAAAUACAUAUUUUCUCUUAAAUACCCUAACCACUCAUAUAUUGGAUCACUACCAUAUAGGGGAAGGGGGAAGGAAGAGGGAGAAAAAAAUUGAACACAAGGUUUUACAAGGGUGAAUGUUGAAAACUAUGUAUGUUUUGAAAAUAAAAAGCUUUAAUAAGAAAAUAGCUGCUAGUCAUGCCCUUCUCCACCCCAUCUCCCCUUCAAUUCCAGUAAGAAACACCUUCAAUUAGUUCAGAGACAAGGAGAGUAAAGAUAGCUUUACUUUUCACCAUCAGGCAUACUUCCUUUUUCCAAGGUCAUGCAGAAUGUACCAAAUGCCCUGCACUAACUAAAUCAUAUGAAACCCAGCUUUAUCUGCCGCCCCCCCCUUCUCUGCCUUUGCAAAUUGGGUGAUCUAUUAUAUCAGAGCCAGACACUUCCAACUGGGACUUGUUUUAAACACUAGUUUGGAACUCAGUUGGUCACAAAUCUGUUUUACGGGCUUUUGAAAUUGUUUCCUAUGUUCUCAUGGCCAUUCCUAACCUAUUUUCAAUCCCAGCCAAAGGGGUUGUGAUCAAUGGUGUAGCCCCAAGAUAAGCCAGUAGAGAUAAACCAAAAUUUUGAGUUGCAAAUGCCCUAAGCCUGUGUUUUUCUGUUUGUUUGCUUUUUUCUAUUUUGUUGUGGUGGUUUCUUGUGGUAACUGGUUACAAGCCUAUGUAGGUAUGCUCCUCACCUCACUCCACGCUUCCACUCUUCUCUCUAGGGAACUGGAGAACUUGUAUUUCAUAUGUUGGUCUUGGGGGCAUCCAGGGUUCAGGAAAGAAAAACAAAGAAAACUAGCAUUUACCAAGUAAUUAGGGCUAAGUACCAAUAUGAUUCAGACAGAAGCCUCACUUCCUAAAAUCAGGCCUUUUGCCACUUUACUUGGGAAAUGCAGAUGGGGCAUUCAGGCCUGCUAUUCAUUUAGCUGGGUCAAUGUGAUUGUAUUAGCCCAAGAGCUUUCCAGGAAAAGUUGUUGGUCAUCAAGUUGCUGGAAACAAGUAGAUGAAUAAUUGAUUGGCACAAAUCUCUGCUUCUUAAAUAUCACUGAUAAAAAGGGGCCAGCUAUCCUCCUGUUUCAAGAAAUCUUGGGCCUCUAGCUAGGAAGGUUACAAGAAAGAAUAGCAGUUUUUGAGAGCAGAAGAUGGAUCCUAUAGGUGUGAAGAACCAUUUGUUUGACUCUGGUGGUUAUAGCUAAACAUGGCAUGCUGUGAUCCGCCUUUUAAUGGUCUAGCAGGUCUCCUGUUACAUCCUGGCUCAGAUGUCUUCCACCCAGUCAAGCCUGCCUAAGUGAAGCUGAGUGGUGCAUUUCUGCCUCCCUCUUCAUAAAGGUUAUUGUCUCUCUCUGAAUACCCUCCCCCCACUUCUAAAUUCAUCCACAGAACCUUCUAAAGACUAACUGCUCCUCUCUGGUUAUUCUAAUCUUUGACUUAACCUUCUAGAGCGGGAUCUGUAUACUACUAUUACAUGGAAUUACUAUGUAACUCCUUCACAUGAGAUACAGAACUGGUUUACUGCCAUUAAAUCUUAUGUAUGCUUUAUGUCACUUUUUAUAUUUUAAAUUUUGGGCCAAAGGACUAUCUCUUGUUUCUUACAUUUAACUUUUUAAUCAAUAACAGCUUAAUCCACUAAUGGACAGGAUGAAGGCUUGCUUUGAGUAUGGUCCUGAGAAGUCAGUUUCAAAAUGAAACAAGUCAGCAGGAUCUCACACGUUACAUUUCAAAACAACUCUUCUCAAGAGGGGAACUUUCAUCUUGCAGGAAGAAGGAACCUGGAAUCCCUGAACAAAGCUAUCUUUCACUGAACCUCUGUCCAGUUUAAAAAGCAAUGUUAUCUACUAAGGCAUUCAAUAAAAAUGUUCUUUUUGCAUAUCCUGGUGGGUUUUGAUGGUUAAUUAAUUUGGAGGGCAGGUUCCCUGAUAAUCUUCCUAAUUAAGUGUUUCAUGUCAUGUCAGGGGCCAAAGUUGGGAAUUUUUUUGCUAGACUCAUCUAAGCAGCAUCACCUUAAGCUUUUUAACAUUUUAAGUGUUGAAAGUAUCAAGUCACCUCAGGUCUACCUUCCCUAUUCUAUUUCUACUAACUCACACUAAAUACUCAGCCUCAGAUAUUAGGCCAAGGACUCUUUACUGCUUAGUCUAAUUGCCAUACAAUGGGAUUUUCACCCCCUGGACUUAAUUAAUGUUCCUAUUUAAUGAUCAAGAAUUCUGAAAUAUCUUUAUCUGAUCCUAACCUGAUCUAUCAUUUCACCUUUCAUGUCUCAUUUUUGGUCUUUACUGAUUUCCUUUUACUUCUUGGUACUUUCCCAGAUUUGUCAACUCUGCUUUCCCACCCCAAUCUUGAAUCAAUAAUUAGUUCAGUGUUAAUCAAUCAACUGCCAAUACAUUGUCCCCUUACACUAGUGUCCACCUAUGGCAACCUGAGGCCUGGAUUUACUUUCAUCAAAUACCUCCUCAUUUUCUGUAUUUCACCAAACAACAUUGCCAGAUUUGUUACUGGGCACUCGUAGCAAGGCAAUUCUUUCUCUCCACUGAUUCACUUUCAUUAUUACAGCUAUUCCAAACCUUUUUCCCUAGUUGCUCUCUACCCUCAGUAUUUUGCCAUCUGUCCAGUUUUUAGAUAAUAGCAUUUCUUACACAAGGUAUUCAGAAACCAUUCCUACCUCACCAAAUCUAUAAUGAGGAAUUUUUAAUUCAUUCAGUUUUGGAAUUGUACCUUGGGACUUAACUGUUCUGAUUCAGUGGAUGACAAUUCUGUGGUAUCCCUAUAAACAACUCCCACUUCCCCAUUCCUCUGCCAAGGAUUUGACAAUUAACUACCCUAUGGCCAUCCUAGUGACUCCUAAGUUGCCCACUAUCACCAUUAUUAUUCAAUAUUGUAUUAGAAAUAACUAGCCUCUGCAAUAAGAGUCAAGAAAGAGAUUAAAGGAAUGAGAGUGGGCAAUGAGGAAACCAAACUAUCACUCUUUGCAGAUGAUAUGAUGGUAUACCUAAAGAACGCCAGAGAUUCUACUAAAAAGCUAUUAGAAAUAAUUCAUAACUUUAGCAAAGUAGCAGGAUACAAAAUAAAUCCCCGUCCUGGUGACUCCUCAGACUAAAAUUUGUUUUCAUGAUCAACAUACUAUAGGAAUUGUAACUCCCUUUACAAUGUAAGCUGCUUGAAUCCAGGCUUCACUUUUGUAUUUGUAUGAAUAGCACCUACAUUCUCCAAGGACUUAGCUCCACUUAGAAAAAGUUGAUUCUAGUUCCUUUCCUCUCACUCACUCCUCCAUCCCUUCUAAUCUUUUUUGGUGUUUAGGCAAUUGGGAUUAAGUGACUUGCCCAAGGUCCCACAGGUAGUACUGUCUGAAGCUGGAUUUGAACUCCUGACUCCAUGGCCAGUCUCUAUUCAGUGCACCAUCUAUCUAGCCACUGUCUCCCUCCGCUUCUAGUCCUAACCCUGAUCACAAACUAAAACUGCUUUCUGUUAUCAGUGAGCUCUUAAAUGCCAAAUUCAAAAGCUUUUCUCUCAAUUUUCAUUUCUGGUAUCUCUUCGGGUUUUGGUACUAUUAACCAGCCCCCCUCUCAGUCUUUUUCUCUGAAUUUUGACAUUACUUUCACAAUUACUUCUUUAAAGUCCUUUGCUGGCUCAUCAUCCAGUUGUCCCUGAACUAUUGUAGGCCCUCUACUUAUCUCUCUACAAUACAUUUUCAGUAUCCUCCUUAGUUCCCUUCUCUUUGUCUCUAUCUAUGUAUUUAACUCCCAUGAUAUAUUUAAAUUAUCAAUAUACACAAAGAGUCUAACCUCCCUUGAUUUCUAGGCCCAAUCAUCAAAUUACUUGCAAGGGAGAGCUUUAUAUUUCUUUAACUUUCUGUUCUUUUGAUAGUGAAUUAACUUUCUUUAGAGAGUGCAUAUAGAACAAUAUCACAACUUAUCUUUAGAACAGGAUUUCAGAAACUGAAGAAAACUUAAAAGGACAUUAAUUAGUCCAAUAUCUUUCUACAGAUAAGGAAAUGGGAGUUCUACAUUUCCUAUAGCAACUUAGAUCUAAUUUACUUAGUUUUCAGGGUCCUGUUGAGGCUGGGAGACAGGACUUAUGACAAUAGUACUAAAAAAAAAAAAAAAAUGAAAAAAGGCUGAUAAUUGUGUGUAUGUAGGUAAGAGUUGUGUAUAUUGUGAAGUAAAAUAAUGGUGAUAGAAAAUGGGGGAUCACAAAUGAAAUCGUAAAGAGUAGGGAUAUAGUCAAAGCAAGUCCUGAAUUCUAACUGCCAUUGAUAAUGGGCUUGUAUAAUCUGGGCAGCUUUCUCAAUUUCAAUUUUCCAAUCAACAAAAAUAGGUUUCCGUUCUCCCCAUUACUCCAGACCUCUCUUAAAUGAUGAAUAAAAAAGUCUGGAUGGUCCAACCAGCUUAAGACAGAAAAGGCGCAGGAUAUAUUAAGAUUGCUCAUUUUUUUUAUGAUUCUGGCUUAGAAAUCCAGGAACCCAUAGAAGCCUGUAGGGAAAAAAAAAUAAGAAGAGACAACACCAGUAUGGUUGGAUGAAAUGUUUACAUUUAUAUUGAAAUCUGCACUAAAACAGAGUGAUUUCUACCAGUCAAUGCAACUUUGCCAAAGCAGAAUCACAAACUUCCCUUGGGGAGGUCCGGUCAGCUAGCAGCGGUGUUCCCCAAGCAGGAACAUCAGGGAGAAGCCAGGAAAGCUCUUUAAAAAAAAAAUCUUCUUCCCUGGUGGCCCUACCUCAGUUCUCCCACAUGCAUCCAUACAUAUUUAAGAGCUUGAACAUGCUCCUCAUUUCCACACCUUUUCUAUUUCUUCAUCAUUGCAAUAAAUAUAAAAUUGGCAAUGCUCACACACACCACAGUACAGACAGUAUUUCAGGCUUCAGCAUACAGCUGUAAACAGCGACUAGGUUUAAAAAAAAAAAAAAAAAAAAAAAAAGGAAAGGGCUUAGGGUUUUCACAGCCAGUUAAGUUUGUUUGUUUUUUUAAAUGAAAAGACAUGAUGGAAAACAGAGACCACCUCUAAUAUUUUUGUUUGUUUCAUUGGUUUGAGGUGCUUUUGAAAAGCCAAGUUUAAAGAAAUUACCUAGUAUUGGAGUAGACCUAAGGUUGUGACCUAAGCACUGCUUAUGACUGUCAGAUGAAAAAUCCAUGUCCCAGAUAGCCCUCAGCCAGGGAGCACUUCAAUAGUCAAAGACUGAAUAAAUGACCUCAGCAGCCAAAUUAGGGGGCACACAUGAUAGCAGAAGGGAUUGAAAAUUCUGAAUGAAAACUGACAGGGAGCUAAGUAAGACCUACCUCUGCUCAACUGCCUGGAGAAUGGGUCAAUUUAUGACAAUUAGCAGCCAGCAUAUUUUACUCAAGCAAUAAAUUAGAGCUUUUUAUAAAAAGAACCACACAAGAGGGAGCAGAGUUCAGAGCGUAAGCAUCAAGUUGUAUCAUUGCAGGAAAUUAGGGCACUUCUAAAAGAACAGCAGACAAGACUUUCUGUUGAUGAAAAAUAGACUUGGCAAGAAAAAAAAUUGGACUUAGAUGUUAGCAAAGGAGCAAAAUAAAUCUCUAUUUUUGCUUAAAAGGCAGUAAGACUCCAUAUUACUGACGUGAUUUCCAGUAGCUCUGGGAUUAAUAUGAGAAGAAACAUAUUCAGAAGGAAUAGGAAAUGCAGAGAAACUAAUGCACAUGCUAUAUAGGGUAAGUUAGUUAGUUGACACUACACCAUCACCAACUGACAUCCUAAAAAGAGAUAUGGAUGGUAAGAAGUUUUCUCAAACAGAAAGUAGUAAGACACAGCCCUGGACAAUCUCUAGUUAAACUCUGAACUCCCCCAAACUAUGCCUCAGCUAAGGGAAGGCCUCUUCUGAACAAUCUUAGGACAUGAAUAAAAUCGAAGGGAAAUUUUAAUGUAGCAAACAAGCUGUGUAUGAGCAGCAUGUAUGUUUUCUGUAAGGAAACACAAGAUGCAGUGGGAAAAUGAUACAUACCAUUUAAAAAGUUCUAAAAAGCUUUGAAACCUUCAACUGAGACUCCUAAAUCACAAGAGGUUGGGGGGGAGGAGGGAGGGAGGAGAAAGAACAACAACCCAAAUCCUUUCUUUUCCUUCUGCACAAAAACCAGCCACUUGCUUUAAAAGCAAAGCACAGACCAUACAUGAAUAUUCUCCUAGUGAAAUCUUGGGUACUAGUAAUCUCAAUCUCUGCAGCAUAAAGUAAAUUAGACCUUAACUGGUUACUGCAAUAAAUAUCUAGUCCAGUUUAAAGUUAUGUGUUUUUUUUUUUUUAUAAUUCCAGUUUGUAUAUUUCCCAUAGGUAUACAAUGAAUUCUUAGCUAUAUUAUUUUCCCUUUCCCCCCCAACCCCCCCAACCCCACUUUAAAAGCCUUUCCUUCUUGCUCAGGCAAAAACUGAAAAAUAUAUCAAGCCCACUUAUGAAACAAUCUUGGGAGGAGGGGUAAUGUGUAAAUACAUUCAUAAAGGGCCCUAUGAUUUACACCAACCUAAUUCUCUUAUUAGAAUAUAAAGCAAGGAAGGAAAGAUUCUCUACAAAGCAAAGCUACACUUGCGUCUCCUUUUGUGAAGGCCAAUUUUUCCUGGAAUAAAACAUCUGUAAAAAUAACAUCAAUAAACAAAAAUAUACAACUUAAGACCUGAUAAGGCUUUAAAUAAUUUUAGGUUUUGUAGAAAGGGAAACUAAACAUUUUUUUCCCCAAAAGGGAAAAAAAUAAACAUUUUUAAGGGAAUGACAGAUCCUUUAAAAAAAUUUUUUUAAAUGAGAACUUGGAACAUAGACAGCACUGCACAGAAUCUCAAUAGCACAGAACACCACACAAAAAUGAGAUGCCAGCAAUGUUAUCAUGGGAACAGCUGUCUGGGGAUUCACACUUUUGAGCAAAAAGAGCUCUUAAACCAAAAGAACUGUUAAAAUCUUGUAUGUGACAUAUGUCAACAUGGACCAAAAAAUGGGGAGGGAGAGAGAAAAUGCAAGAGUGGGUCCAUUAGAGACAUGAUAUUCAGCAGCAUAAAAAAUAAAAUCCGUCAAAGUUUCCCAAAGAUUAGGAUGAAAACCUGUCGGUUUCAGCUAAGAUCUUAUAAAAGAAGCACGAGAGGGAAAUUAAGAGAGCAGAACACAUUCACUACUACCUGUUGCACCUCCCAUUUUUGAAUGCCAAUUACGUUCAAUUUGGUGCUACGGCUUAAAAAAUCCAGAACAUGAGUCACAUUUAAAAAAAAAAAAAAAACAAA